UUAAACAAGAGAGUUUGAUCCUGGCUCAGGAUGAACGCUGGCGGCGUGCCUAACACAUGCAAGUCGAACGAAGUUAGACAGAGGAAGUUUUCGGAU
rnacentral:rRNA from 1 species